rnacentral:rRNA from 1 species
GACGAACGCUGGCGGCGUGCUUAACACAUGCAAGUCGAACGGACAGGCCCUGCUUUUGUUGGGUGCUCGAGUGGCGAACGGGUGAGUAACACGUGAGUAACCUGCCCUUGACUUUGGGAUAACUUCAGGAAACUGGGGCUAAUACCGGAUAGGAGCUCCUGCUGCAUGUGGGGGGUUGGAAAGUUUCGGCGGUUGGGGAUCGACUCGCGGCUUAUCAGCUUGUUGGUGGGGUAGUGGCUUACCAGGGCUUUGAAGGGUAGCCGGCCUGGGAGGUCGACCGGCCACCAUGGGACUGAGGGACGGCCCAGACUCCAACGGGAGGCAGCAGUGGGAAAUAUGGCACAAUGGGCGGAAGCCUGAUGCAGCAACGCCGCGUGCGGGAUGACGUCCUUCUGGUUGUAAACCGCUUUCGCCUGUGACGAAGCGUGAGUGACGGUAAUGGGUAAAGAAGCACCGGCUAACUACGUG